GCCUGGGCACUUUAGCUGACAGCAUGGUGAAAAACUUGUUUCCACCAGUCCACUGAUUGCCUUUGUCUCAGAAUAAAUCUUGCUUCCUUCUGGAAGACUACGUAUAUAAAAGAACAAUCUGCAAAGGACUCGAGUUUGUAAUUUCUAGUUCUUGAAGAACCAGAUCAUCCUCAUUAGGCAAAUAUUAAUCAGAAGACUGGAUAGAUGUAAUUAAAAAGACUGCAGUGUAGUGCAGAACAGCAACAAAAACACCUGAAGGAGCCAAUUCAAGCAAAAAUAAAUGGUCAGAAUCUUACUGAAAUCCCUUCUUUAAAAUAAACAAACCUCCAAACCCAACCCAACCAACCAAAAUAAUAAACCAGAAACAAACACCCAAACAAAGAAAACAAAAACAAACCCAACCAAAAGACCCCAGCAAACUUCCAGAUAUUUGGAAACACGAGAUCAACAUUAUAAAGAUUCCCUGCACAGGACAACCUGUGUAGUAUCCAUUGCUGUAUGGCUUGAUCGCCCUCCACACCACUAAUAAAAAUGGUACAUUAUCUUUGA